AAAGGGACAAAAACUACAACUGCAAACAACAACAACAACAACAACAUCGAUGGUGGUAACUGCGACUAUUACACGGAAUGGACCUUCAGCA
rnacentral:sRNA from 1 species